AGGUGCCCUUCCUACAGCCCCAGGAAUUAAGCGGCCAGCACAGCCUCAGGCUGCCUAAAGGGAGCACUACGGAGCCUUAAAGUCAGAGCCUUGGGACGCUGGAGUCCAGGGGCACAGCAAGCCAACCUUUACCAAGUGCUAACCGUGUGCCAGGCGCGGUGUUAAAUGUUUUCCAAGUGUGCCUUCAUUUAAUCCUCAACACAAGAAAAUGAAUUUGGAAUUAUUAUCAUCCCCAUUUUACAGCUGCGGAAAUUGAGGCUUAGAGAGACUAAAUAACUCGCUUAAAAUAUCACUCCAGGCCAGAUGUGCUGACUCCCAAGCGUCAGUGCCGACCUGUUCCCAGGCCCUGUCUGGAGAUUGAGACGCGUCUUGAAGUGACUUCAGGCCCCUCUUCUCAGACUCUCGGAUUUUUUUUCUGGCUUCUCACUCCUAUCCACGGCAUGUGAUGAACAUUCUUGUAGGAAGAUCUUUGCCUACAUCGUGAUGGCUUCUUCGGGAUCAAUUCCUUGACAUGGAUGACGCGAUGUUUGGGGCUGUUUUUUUUGGAAAUGAGGAGAAACAGAGGACCCCAGCCCAGCUGGAGGCUGGACACGAGGGAGAGGCAGGCAACCCUCCGGGAAGUGGGCGCGACUGGAAAGCCAGGAUGCCUGACUAAUCCACAGAGCACGCCGCCUCGGUUUAUCUGAGCACUGCUUUCCUGUGCCCCUCGGGCUCGCCCAGAAGCCCUUAGGAAUCUAGUUUAUUUCCAUCCUGGUUUUGCUGACUUGACUGAAGUUCUUGCUCUGUGGAUCGGCUGCAAGACACAGGCUCUCUCACACACACGCACGUGCACACUGACCUCCAGAAAUCAAGCAUGAGAGAGACAGUCAUUGGGAAGAAGCCGAGAGAACCUACAGAAAGUGGGGGACCCUUCUUUACACAGAAAGAAAAUUCCCUGGAAAAAGCUGUUCAUCAAAUUUACAUAAAUCCUUUCUUCUCUUAAUUGGGCUGGGUUAGUUUAAUAUUUUUACAACAGCUUUAUUGUUUUUUUUUUUUAAAUACAUCUUCAUUGAUUAUUUUUUAAGAUUGGCACCUGAGCUAACAUCUGUUGCCAAUCUUCUUUUUUUUUCUUCUCCCCAAAUCCCCCCAUUACAUAGUUGUAGAUUCUAGUUGCAGGUCCUUCUAGUUGUGGUAUGUGGGACGCCGCCUCAGCAUGGCCUGAUGAGCAGUGCCAUGUCGGCACGCAGGAUCCGAACUGGUGAAACCCUGGGCCACAGAAGCGGAGCGUGUGAACUUGACCACUCGGCCACAGGGCUGGCCCCUCAUUGUUUUUAAAAAUUCCUCAAAAAUACGUGAAUAUAUUUG
rnacentral:lncRNA from 1 species